ACCUUAGUUUCCGUAAAGUCGGCCAUUGUGACACGAUUUCGCACGGUGACAAACAGGAUUGUACAGCGACAAAUGCAAAGGAUUUAAUCAACGCAUUUGUACUACAGUAAAGAUACCAACAGAGUCUGAUUGAUCACUAGAAGAAGAAAAAUGAACUCAGUUACUCCUCUACCUCACUGUCAUCACUGUCCUCAGAUUCGUCAAUGACAGCUGCAUCAGUGACAAACUCGGACCAGUCUUGAAUAGACGAAAUAGCCUCCCUGUUGUGUCUCCCAACAGCGAGAAACCAAAUAACGGCGGCGACAUGGGAACAUACUCCCACAACACGGGCAACCGCUCGACAUCUGCAAUACCAUGCAGUGAUCUCAGACUCGGAAAACUGGAUCCAGAGCAGAUACUGUCGGGAAGAAACAUGACGACUCUGUAGCUUGACCCUGAUAAGCCAAUGGAACUCACUGUGAACCAAGAUAUCCACAUCCCCCUCCAAAUACUCCUGAAUAUAACUUGGACACAACUUCAGUUGAUAAACUCCACAGGUCAGAUUACGAAUGUCAUCUUCGCUGAUGUUGGGGAAUUCCAAAGAAUCAGUGGCCACUCCCACUUUACAGACUUCUUAUCCAGACAGUUUUCUUCAACAAAUGUCUUUAAAGAGUUAACUUUUGUUGACAAAUACCUCAUUUUGCAUGCAAGGGCCAUGUCUUCAUCUUUACUUCCUGUCGACAGAGGCUUGCAGUAACGGUUGGAGAGGGCACACACGAUGCGCACAUAGUCACCGAUAAAUGGCACUUGAUUGGUCGGAAGAACAUGAGCAAGGAACUUCCAUCGCUUUAUCCUUGCAUUGGCUGCCUCAACGACCCAACGAAUCUGAAAAGUUAAGAACAAGCACCACUUAUAAAAAAGGUCUGGUAAUCAAAAUAUGAAAACAACUAACCUUGGUGACCAGACGAGAGGCAUUGGCAUCUAAGGUUGUCAUCUGCUUCUGCCCUCUGCUCAUCAGGCGAGGCAUUUCGGCCCUUAUUCCCAGCUCCUCGAGCAUAUCGACUGAAUCUCGGAAGCCUCUGUCUACAACAAAAACAUCAUCUUCGUGGAACCAGCCCUUCAGAUCUUCUACAUUGGUAUGAAGCAUAUGGUUGAGGAUAGUGGCAUCAUUAUUCCUAGCUAGUCCAAGAUGAUGUGGUACAAAUGACUUCAUGAGUGCUGUACGGACUGAUUUUACUGCUCUACAGAGGGAAGACUUUGAAAUUCCAAAAAUCGUGGCCAGAAGUUGAUUUGACAUUCCUGAUCUCAGUUUCAGAGGAAAGAUUCCAAGUGACAUCCUUGUGCCUCGGUUUUGUGUGUUUCGAAUAUCACUGGAAAUAAAGGAAUGGAGGUCUUCAAAGUUUUCUUUAGAGAUACUAGUCAGUGCCAUAUAAUCACUGUUGCUCAUGGUAGACAGUUAAAAAAAAAAUCUGCUUUUUGAGGUCUGGAGGGCAUAAUUUCGUAUUUUUUCGAUCAGUUCCAGCACUGUCGACUUGUUUACAAAUGAAGACUCGAAUGUCUGUAUUUUGGUCAAAACACAAGGUCUGAACUCUCCUUCAUCAAUGUGGGAUGGACAACAUCUGCUUCCAGGUGGGAUGAUGAUUUCAUGGUGAAGAAAGGCUGAAAAUCUAGCUGCUGAAGACACGACAACAAGUUUAGGACCCGGUCGCUUGCAGAUUAAGCAGUAAGCAUGUGAAGAAGGUGUUCUCUGGAGAGGCAAAGAUAUAGAUGGUGGACUGCACAUUCCUGGUUGUAGAGGCCGAGACACAGGAAGGGAACUGCUGGCAUGUUUUCUGGUUUCCAUGGUAGCGAUGUCUUCACUUUUUGCACAAAAUGUCAUUUGAGUUUGCCUCAACAAGAAAGUUCUUUCUGAGGAAGCGACGGAUUGCUGUUGACUCAUUUUUUUCUGUCAUUUGGCCUUGUUCUUUUUUUGCAAAGGAUGCAUGGGAAAAUCUUUUUACUCUCUGUUUUCACUUGAUCUUCAUUCAUUUUUAUGUUCUGAAAUUACAAAACAAAAAUGUAGUGAUACACAACUUUAAUGUUCACUAAAAAAUAAAGAUAUCAUUUUAUAUGU
rnacentral:sRNA from 1 species